rnacentral:rRNA from 1 species
UACGGAGGAUGCAAGCGUUAUCCGAAAUGAUUGGGCGUAAAGCGUCCGCAGGUGGCAAUGUAAGUCUGCUGUCAAAGCGUCUGGCUCAACCAGAUAAAGGCAGUGGAAACUACAUAGCUAGAGUAAGGUAGGGGUAGAGGGAAUUCCUGGUGUAGCGGUGAAAUGCGUAGAGAUCAGGAAGAACACCGGUGGCGAAAGCGCUCUGCUGGACCUUAACUGACACUGAGGGACGAAAGCUAGGGGAGCGAAUGGG